AGAGUUUGAUCCUGGCUCAGAACGAACGCUGGCGGCGUGGAUUAGGCAUGCAAGUCGAACGAGAAAGGGGGGGCAACCCCCUGAGUAAAGUGGCGAACGGGUGAGUAGCGCGUGGGAAACCUACCCUCGAGCGGGGGAUAACACUCCUAACGGGGUGCUAAUACCGCAUGACAUCGCCGGGUCGCAUGGCCUGGCGAUCAAAGGUGGCCUCUGCUUGCAAGCUACCGCUUGAGGAUGGUCCCGCGUCCCAUUAGCUAGUUGGCGGGGUAACGGCCCACCAAGGCUACGAUGGGUAGCUGGUCUGAGAGGACGGCCAGCCACACUGGGACUGAGAUACGGCCCAGACUCCUACGGGAGGCAGCAGUCGAGAGGCUUCGGCAAUGGGGGAAACCCUGACCGAGCGACGCCGCGUGAGGGAUGAAGGCCUUCGGGUCGUAAACCUCUUUCAGGGGGGAAGAAAUGCGCGUGGCCCAAUACGCCACGCGCUUGACGGUACCUCCAGAAGAAGCUCCGGCUAACUCCGUGCCAGCAGCCGCGGUAAUACGGGGGGAGCAAGCGUUGUUCGGAAUCACUGGGCGUAAAGGGCGCGUAGGCGGCUAGGUAAGUGGAGUGUGAAAGCCCCCGGCUCAACCGGGGAGGGUCGCUCCAAACUGCCUGGCUUGAGUGCGGGAGAGGAGACUGGAAUUCUCGGUGUAGCGGUGAAAUGCGCAGAUAUCGGGAAGAACACCGGUUGCGAAGGCGAGUCUCUGGCCCGUUACUGACGCUGAUGCGCGAAAGCUGGGGGAGCAAACGGGAUUAGAUACCCCGGUAGUCCCAGCUGUAAACGGUGGGCACUAGGUGUGGGAGGCAUCGACCCCUUCCGUGCCGCAGCUAACGCAUUAAGUGCCCCGCCUGGGGAGUACGGCCGCAAGGUUGAAACUCAAAGGAAUUGACGGGGGCCCGCACAAGCGGUGGAGCAUGUGGUUCAAUUCGACGCAACGCGAAGAACCUUACCCAGGCUUGACAUGCAGUGGACAGGUGUGGAAACACACCCUCCCUUCGGGGCCGCUGCACAGGUGCUGCAUGGCUGUCGUCAGCUCGUGUCGUGAGAUGUUGGGUUAAGUCCCGCAACGAGCGCAACCCUUGUCCUUAGUUGCUAACGGGAAAGCCGAGCACUCUAGGGAGACUGCCGGCGGUGAGCCGGAGGAAGGUGGGGAUGACGUCAAGUCCUCAUGGCCCUUACGCCUGGGGCUACACACGUGCUACAAUGGCCGGUACAAAGGGUCGCAAUGCCGCGAGGCGGAGCUAAUCCCAGAAAACCGGUCUCAGUUCGGAUUGCAGUCUGCAACUCGACUGCAUGAAGUUGGAAUCGCUAGUAAUCGCGAAUCAGCAGGUCGCGGUGAAUACGUUCCCGGGCCUUGUACACACCGCCCGUCAAGCCACGAAAGUCGGCAGUACCCGAAGCCACCGUGCGAACCGUAAGGACGCAGGUGUCGAAGGUAAGGCCGGUGAUUGGGGCUAAGUCGUAACAAGGUA
rnacentral:rRNA from 1 species